rnacentral:rRNA from 1 species
GAUGAACGCUAGCUACAGGCUUAACACAUGCAAGUCGAGGGGCAGCAUGGUCUUAGCUUGCUAAGGCCGAUGGCGACCGGCGCACGGGUGAGUAACACGUAUCCAACCUGCCGUCUACUCUUGGACAGCCUUCUGAAAGGAAGAUUAAUACAAGAUGGCAUCAUGAGUCCGCAUGUUCACAUGAUUAAAGGUAUUCCGGUAGACGAUGGGGAUGCGUUCCAUUAGAUAGUAGGCGGGGUAACGGCCCACCUAGUCUUCGAUGGAUAGGGGUUCUGAGAGGAAGGUCCCCCACAUUGGAACUGAGACACGGUCCAAACUCCUACGGGAGGCAGCAGUGGGGAAGAUUGGUCAAUGGGCGCAGGCCUGAACCAGCCAAGUAGCGUGAAGGAUGACUGCCCUAUGGGUUGUAAACUUCUUUUAUAAAGGAAUAAAGUCGGGUAUGUAUACCCGUUUGCAUGUACUUUAUGAAUAAGGAUCGGCUAACUCCGUG